rnacentral:lncRNA from 1 species
AGAUGUCGUUGGCUUCCAGUAACAGUGGAAGGAAGACUAUUCUGGUAGUUCUCCCGAGCCCAGUGCUUAGCUGGGCCAUAGCCUUGUGGCAUCCUCCAACCCCUCAAAAGAUUGGUAUAACUGACAGCAUAAUCCUACACCAGGUUCCUGACUUUGCAGAAAUGAAAACUAAGGGGGAAAAAAAAGAGGCAGAGUCUACAGGGGAGGAAGAAAGACAGUUCACAUGUAGAGGUGGCUUGCAUAUCCGACGCUUUUGGACACUGCUCAGUACCAGGAAGUCCCACCUUACACUUUCAAACAAGCUAUCAGCCUGCCUGCCUCUGGAAGGACAUUCUUGGUCAAGCACUUAGAGGCACAUCUUGCCUCUAGUACAAACUACAUUUUUGAAGGCAUGUGUGUUAGAGCUGAAGAGAUGGCUCAGCAGUUAGGAGCGCUGGCUAUUCUUCCAGAAGAUGCAGAUUCAAUGCUCAUAUGGCAGUUCACAAUCAGAGGUAACUUCAUUAAAAAUUUGGAAGCACACAUGUCAAGAAAGAGGGGAUAAAAGUCACCCAGGAUCCCAGUCAUGUAGACACAGCUGCAGAUUCUCACAACUCCUUCUGCAAGACCAUCACAGCCUAGAAAGCCCACAAAUGUGGAUUUGAAGUGAUACUAACAU